rnacentral:rRNA from 1 species
AUUGAACGCUGGCGGCGUGCUUAACACAUGCAAGUCGAUCGGUAACGCGGGGGCAACCCUGGCGACGAGAGGCGGACGGGUGAGGAACGCUUGGGAAUCUGCCUAUCAGCGGGGGACAACACGGGGAAACUCGUGCUAAUACCGCAUACGCUCUACGGAGGAAAGCCGGGGACCGCAAGGCCUGGCACUGAUAGAUGAGCCCAAGCCGGAUUAGCUAGUUGGCGGGGUAACGGCCCACCAAGGCGACGAUCCGUAGCUGGUCUGAGAGGACGAUCAGCCACACGGGGACUGAGACCCGGCCCAGACUCCUACGGGAGGAAGCAGGGGGGAAUAUUGGACAAUGGGGGAAACCCUGAUCCAGCGACGCCGCGUGGGUGAAGAAGGCCUGCGGGUUGUAAAGCCCUUUCGGUAGGGACGAAAGCUCUCGACCUAACACGUCGGGAGGUUGACUUAACCUACAAAAGAAGCACCGGCUAACUCUGUGCCAGCAGCCGCCGUAAUAC